ACUUAUAUAGUAUAGAAAUUAUUUUUAACUUCCAAUUAAAAGACCUAAAAUUUUAGUAUAAGUA
rnacentral:tRNA from 1 species